CCUACGGGAGGCUGCAGUAGGGAAUAUUGCACAAUGGGGGAAACCCUGAAGCAGCAACGCAGCGUGGAGGAUGAAGGUUUUAGGAUUGUAAACUCCUUUUGUUAGAGAAGAUUAUGACGGAAUCUAAAGAAUAAGAACCUGCUAACUCCGUGCCAGCAACCGAGGUAAUACGAAGGGUGCAAGCGUUACUCGGAAUCCCUGGGCGGUAAGAUUGCGUAGGCGGGGUAAUAAGUCCGAUGUGAAAUCCUGUAGCUUAACUACCGAACUGCAUUUGAAACUGUUACUCUGGAGUUUGGGAGAGGUAGGUGGAAUUCUAGGUGUAGGGGUAAGAUCCGUAGAGAUAAAGAGGAAUACUCAUUGCGAAGGCGACCUGCUGGAACAUUACUGACGCUGAUGCACGAAAGCGUGGGGAGCAAACAGGAUUAGAUACCCGAGUAGUC
rnacentral:rRNA from 1 species